CAAUAGCGUAUAUUAAAGUUGUUGCGGUAAAAAAGCUCGUAGUUGGAUUUCUGUUGAGAGCGACCGGUCCAUACCAUGUAUGCGUAUCUGGCUUGCUCUCGGCAUCCUCUCGAUAGACGUUACUGCGCUUGAUUGCGUGGUGCGGAUCUCGGGACUUUUACUUUGAGGAAAUUAGAGUGUUCACGGCAGGCUUUCGCCAGAAUACGUUAGCAUGGAAUAAUACUAUAGGAUCUUGGUUCUAUUUUGUUGGUUUCUAGAAUUGAGAUAAUGAUUAAUAGGGACAAUUGGGGGCAUUCGUAUCAACACGUCAGAGGUGGAAUUCUUGGAUUGUGUUGCGACGAACUACUGCGAAAGCAUUUGCCAAGGAUGUUUUCAUUGA
rnacentral:rRNA from 1 species